AUGGGUGUUGGGUCCAACAAUUCACAUUGGUCUCAAACCAAUGACACCCAUUUCGAAGACCAUGAGUUUGAGGUGGACGAGGAGGGUGAGGGCAUUGUCGACGCGCCGAAAGGAAGAGCGGGCAAUUACACCACCAAAGAUGACAUCUUACUAUGCAAUACUUGGUUGCAAGUGUCGAGGGAUCCAUCCGUUGGAGGUGAUAAAAGUAGAGAUGCUUAUUGGGGGCGGAUGAAAGAACACUUUGAUUUUCACAACUUGAGUGGAAUUGACCGCUCCCAGAGAUCACUUCGGUCCCGAUGGUCGACAAUCAACUCGGAUUGUCAAAGGUGGGCGGCAUGUCAAAAGGCGGUUGAUAAGUUGAACCCAAGUGGCACAAAUGAGGACGAUAGAGUAAGUGGAAUUUCAUACAUGUUCAUCAUACUUGCUUUUGGUGUCCAAAGUGCUAACUUGCUUUGUUUUCAUGUAGUACAACAUUGCACAAAACUUGUUCAAAGAAGAGGAGAGGAAAACCAAGAAGGGGAAGAUCAAGAAAGGAAGGGUCUUUACCUUGCCUCAUUGCUACAAAGUGUGAAGGAUGAUGAGAAAUGGAAGAAGCGUGAAGAUUUGGAUGAUUUGCAUUUGAGCAACAAACGCAAGUGA
rnacentral:rRNA from 1 species